rnacentral:rRNA from 1 species
GAUGAACGCUGGCGGCGUGCCUAAUACAUGCAAGUCGAGCGAUCGGACGAGAAGCUUGCUUCUCUGAUGUUAGCGGCGGACGGGCGAGUAACACGUGGAUAACCUACCUAUAAGACUGGGAUAACUUCGGGAAACCGGAGCUAAUACCGGAUAAUAUUUUGAACCGCAUGGUUCAAAAGUGAAAGACGGUCUUGCUGUCACUUAUAGAUGGAUCCGCGCUGCAUUAGCUAGUUGGUAAGGUAACGGCUUACCAAGGCAACGAUGCAUAGCCGACCUGAGAGGGUGAUCGGCCACACUGGAACUGAGACACGGUCCAGACUCCUACGGGAGGCAGCAGUAGGGAAUCUUCCGCAAUGGGCGAAAGCCUGACGGAGCAACGCCGCGUGAGUGAUGAAGGUCUUCGGAUCGUAAAACUCUGUUAUUAGGGAAGAACAUAUGUGUAAGUAACUGUGCACAUCUUGACGGUACCUAAUCAGAAAGCCACGGCUAACUACGU